rnacentral:rRNA from 1 species
UACGUAGGGUGCAAGCGUUAAUCGGAAUUACUGGGCGUAAAGCGUGCGCAGGCGGCUUUGCAAGACAGAUGUGAAAUCCCCGGGCUUAACCUGGGAACUGCAUUUGUGACUGCAUGGCUGGAGUGCGGCAGAGGGGGAUGGAAUUCCGCGUGUAGCAGUGAAAUGCGUAGAUAUGCGGAGGAACACCGAUGGCGAAGGCAAUCCCCUGGGCCUACACUGACGCUCAUGCACGAAAGCGUGGGGAGCAAACAGG